UACGGAGGGUGCAAGCGUUAAUCGGAAUUACUGGGCGUAAAGCGCACGCAGGCGGUCUGUCAAGUCGGAUGUGAAAUCCCCGGGCUCAACCUGGGAACUGCAUCCGAAACCGGCAGGCUAGAGUCUUGUAGAGGGGGGUAGAAUUCCAGGUGUAGCGGUGAAAUGCGUAGAGAUCUGGAGGAAUACCGGUGGCGAAGGCGGCCCCCUGGACAAAGACUGGCGCUCAGGUGCGAAAGCGUGGGGAGCAAACAGGAUUAGAUACCCUGGUAGUCCACGCCGUAAACGAUGUCGACUUGGAGGUUGUGCCCUUGAGGCGUGGCUUCCGGAGCUAACGCGUUAAGUCGACCGCCUGGGGAGUACGGCCGCAAGGUUAAA
rnacentral:rRNA from 1 species